rnacentral:rRNA from 1 species
GUCAGUUUCUAUCUAUAAAAAAUUUUUUCUAGUACGAAAGGACCGAAAAAAUAGAGCCCAUUACCAAACAAUGCUCUUACACAGUUGAAAACAAAUAAAACACGCACACACAAACACAUCCUAGAACAGGAUAAA